rnacentral:lncRNA from 1 species
UCAGCUGGUGGUGAGCACGGAGAAAUCGACGAUAACCCAUAUAGACGACCUUCUUAUAGUGCUUCAAGUACAUGCUGUCUGUGUCAUCUAAACAGUGGGUGCAUGCCCGAUAUCCCUUAUUUGUCUAUCCUGAAAGGUUACUCAAUGUAGGCCAAUCGUUGAUGGUUACGAACAACAAUGCUCGUAGAUUAAAGAUCUCUUGUCUAUCCUCAUCCCACCCACAUACACCUUCUUCAUUCUAGAGCUGUAAAAGGUCAUCAACCAACGGCCUUAGGUACACGUCAAUGUCGUUGCCAGGUUGUUUUGGGCCUUGGAUAAGUGCCGGCAUCAUAAUGAACUUCCGCUUCAUGCACAGCCAAGGAGGAAGGUUGAACAUACAAAGGGUCACAGGCCAAGUACUAUGGCCACUACUCAACUCACCGAAUGGAUUGAAUCCAUCAGUACUUAAACCAAACCUUAUGUUCCUUGCUUCACUUUGAAAGUCUGGGAAUGUUCUAUCAAUUGAUCUCCACUAUGCCCCAUCUGCGGGGUGUCUCAGCAUCUCAUCUUCC